rnacentral:rRNA from 1 species
AUUGAACGCUGGCGGCAGGCCUAACACAUGCAAGUCGAACGAGCGGCGGACGGGUGAGUAAUGUCUGGGAAACUGCCCGAUGGAGGGGGAUAACUACUGGAAACGGUAGCUAAUACCGCAUACUAUCGGAUGCGCCCAGAUGGGAUUAGCUAGUAGGUGGGGUAACGGCUCACCUAGGCGACGAUCUCUAGCUGGUCUGAGAGGAUGACCAGCCACACUGGGACUGAGACACGGUCCAGACUCCUACGGGAGGCAGCAGUGGGGAAUAUUGCACAAUGGGCGCAAGCCUGAUGCAGCCAUGCCGCGUGUAUGAAGAAGGCCUUCGGGUUGUAAAGUACUUUCAGCGGGGAGGCGUUACCCGCAGAAGAAGCACCGGCUAACUCCGUGCCAGCAGCCGCGGUAAUAC